GUCAGGACGUGUUUGUGUAUUAAUGGUUCGAUCAUGUGAAUGAGCACUUUUGUACUUCCUUCUAACGUGCUGUCUUUCUUUUCUGCUCCAGAUUUUUUGUGGGCAACGGAAUUGGCCUAGUCUGCACCCUAAGCCUGACUCCAUAUUGCCGCCAGGUGUAGGCUGACUCCGGUAUGGACAUCGAAAUGGUCAGCACCAUUGACAGAAGUCCUCCACUGGCGUGUGGAGGACUGCAGCACCCGAGGCACGGUCAGUCGCUGCCGCCAGCUCGCUUCGGUGAGGGUAUACGGGCACCCCUCCUCUCCUCUGCAGUGUGCCACAGUGCUGGAUGAAGAAUAUUGUUCUGGUGCCCUCGUCUUCCUCUGGCACCACACUUCACCCACCACACCAGCCCACCUCG